UAUAAUGUUGGCUGUCCAGAUGCCUAAAAAGCAUCUGUUAGCAAGGGCCGGGCAAGACCGGUGCCAGCCGCCGCGGUAACACCGGCGGCCCGAGUGGUAACCGCUAUUAUUGGGUCUAAAGGGUCUGUAGCCGGCCAGGUAAGUCCCUUGGGAAAUCUGGCAGCUCAACUGUCAGGCUGCUAGGGGAUACUGUUUGGCUUGGGACCGGGAGAGGUGAGAGGUACCUUGGGGGUAGGGGUGAAAUCUUGUAAUCC
rnacentral:rRNA from 1 species